AACGAACGCUGGCGGCAUGCCUAACACAUGCAAGUCGAACGCCCGUAGCAAUACGGGAGUGGCAGACGGGUGCAUAACACGUGGGAACCUACCCUAGGGUUCGGAAAAACCGCGGGAAACUGCGGCUAAUACCGGAUACGUCCUCUGGGAGAAAGAUUUAUCGCCCUUGGAGGGGCCCGCGUCGGAUUAGCUAGUUGGUGAGGUAACGGCUCACCAAGGCGACGAUCCGUAGCUGAUCUGAGAGGAUGAUCAGCCACACUGGAACUGAGACACGGUCCAGACUCCUACGGGAGGCAGCAGUGGGGAAUAUUGGACAAUGGGCGCAAGCCUGAUCCAGCAAUGCCGCGUGGGUGAUGAAGGCCUUCGGGUUGUAAAGCCCUUUUGGCAGGGACGAUGAUGACGGUACCUGCAGAAUAAGCCCCGGCUAACUUCGUGCCAGCAGCCGCAGUAAGAC
rnacentral:rRNA from 1 species